rnacentral:rRNA from 1 species
GUAAGGAAUAUUGGUCAAUGGACGAAAGUCUGAACCAGCCAUGCCGCGUGGAGGAUGAAGGUCCUCUGGAUUGUAAACUUCUUUUAUAUGGGACGAAAAUGGGGCUUUCUAGCUCAACUGACGGUACCAUAUGAAUAAGCACCGGCUAACUCCGUGCCAGCAGCCGCGGUAAUACGGAGGGUGCAAGCGUUAUCCGGAUUCACUGGGUUUAAAGGGUGCGUAGGUGGAUUGGUAAGUCAGAGGUGAAAUCUCCGGGCUCAACUCGGAAACUGCCUUUGAUACUAUCAAUCUUGAAUAUUGUGGAGGUUAGCGGAAUAUGUCAUGUAGCGGUGAAAUGCUUAGAUAUGACAUAGAACACCAAUUGCGAAGGCAGCUGGCUACACAUAUAUGGACACUGAGGCACGAAAGCGUGGGGAUCAAACAGGAUUAGAAACCCUGGUAGUCC